GACGAACGCUGGCGGCGUGCUUAAUACAUGCAAGUCGAACGGAAAGGCCCUGCUUUUGUGGGGUGCUCGAGUGGCGAACGGGUGAGUAACAAGUGAGUAACCUGCCCUUGACUUUGGGAUAACUUCAGGAAACUGGGGCUAAUACCGGAUAGGAGCUCCUGCUGCAUGGUGGGGGUUGGAAAGUUUCGGCGGUUGGGGAUGGACUCGCGGCUUAUCAGCUUGUUGGUGGGGUAGUGGCUUACCAAGGCUUUGACGGGUAGCCGGCCUGAGAGGGUGACCGGCCACAUUGGGACUGAGAUACGGCCCAGACUCCUACGGGAGGCAGCAGUGGGGAAUAUUGCACAAUGGGCGGAAGCCUGAUGCAGCAACGCCGCGUGCGGGAUGACGGCCUUCGGGUUGUAAACCGCUUUCGCCUGUGACGAAGCGUGAGUGACGGUAAUGGGUAAAGAAGCACCGGCUAACUACGUG
rnacentral:rRNA from 1 species